CCAAUAGCGUAUAUUAAAGUUGUUGCAGUUAAAAAGCUCGUAGUUGAACUUCGGGGUUCACCCAUUGGUCAGGCUUAAUUGUCUGUACUGGUGAGAUGAAUCUCUACCUUCUGAGGAACUUUCAUGCCAUUUAUUUGGUGUGAUUGGAAAUCAGGACUGUUACUUUGAAAAAAUUAGAGUGUUUAAAGCAGGCUAACGUCUGAAUACAUUAGCAUGGAAUAAUGAAAUAGGACGGAUUGAUUCUAUUUCGUUGGUUCCUAGGAUCACCGUAAUGAUUAAUAGGGAUAGUUGGGGGCAUUAGUAUUAAAUUGUCAGAGGUGAAAUUCUUGGAUUUAUUGAAGACUAACUACUGCGAAAGCAUUUGCCAAGGAUGUUUUCAUUAAUCAAGAACGAAAGUUAGGGGAUCGAAGACGAUCAGAUACCGUCGUAGUCUUAACCAUAAACUAUGCCGACUAGGGAUCGGACGCUGUUAAUUUUAUAAUGACGUGUUCGACACCUUACG
rnacentral:rRNA from 1 species